rnacentral:snoRNA from 1 species
ACCCAAGAACUUUUAAAAGCCUUUCAAUUUACUACUAAGGGGAAUUUAUUCUCUUUAAAAUUUAGGAAUAGUUACAGUAGUUGCGACUGCGCCAAUUAUUUCACACCCCCACAGUAAUUUCGAAAACUGGUUCUUGGAAAAUUAAUUUUUAGCCCUUUUUCCACCCUGGUUUGUAUUUUUGUUCGUUACAAAAUCGGGACUAAUAUUAAGGGAAACAUCU